rnacentral:rRNA from 1 species
GACGAACGCUUGCGGCGUGCCUAAGAAAUGCAAGUCGAGCGGUCAGCAGCAAUGCUGUCAGCGGCGAACGGUCGCGUAUCACGUAAGCAACCUGCCCUCUAGACCGGGACAACCCUCCGAAAGGGGGGCUAAUACCGGAUGAGGCCGUUUUUCGACAUCGAGAAGCGUCUAAAUCCUCGCAAGGGGGCUAGGGGAGGGGCUUGCGGCCUAUCAGCUCGUUGGUGGGGUAACGGCCUACCAAGGCGACGACGGGUAGCGGGUCUGAGAGGACGAUCCG